rnacentral:rRNA from 1 species
GACGUAGGGGGCGAGCGUUGUCCGGAAUUAUUGGGCGUAAAGCGCGCGCAGGCGGUCCUUUAAGUCUGAUGUGAAAGCCCACGGCUCAACCGUGGAGGGUCAUUGGAAACUGGGGGACUUGAGUACAGAAGAGAAGAGUGGAAUUCCACGUGUAGCGGUGAAAUGCGUAGAGAUGUGGAGGAACACCAGUGGCGAAGGCGACUCUUUGGUCUGUAACUGACGCUGAGGCGCGAAAGCGUGGGGAGCAAACAGG